rnacentral:rRNA from 1 species
GAGUUUGAUCCUGGCUCAGAUUGAACGCUGGCGGCGUGCCUAACACAUGCAAGUCGAGCGGUAACAGGUGUAGCAAUACAUGCUGACGAGCGGCGGACGGGUGAGUAACGCUUGGGAAUCUGCCUGUUAGUGGGGGACAACCCGGGGAAACUCGGGCUAAUACCGCAUACGCACUACGGUGGAAAGCCGGGGACCGCAAGGCCUGGCGCUAACAGAUGAGCCCAAGUCGGAUUAGCUAGUUGGUAGGGUAACGGCCUACCAAGGCGACGAUCCGUAACUGGUCUGAGAGGACGACCAGUCACACCGGAACUGAGACACGGUCCGGACUCCUACGGGAGGCAGCAGUGGGGAAUAUUGGACAAUGGGGGAAACCCUGAUCCAGCGACGCCGCGUGGGUGAAGAAGGCCUGCGGGUUGUAAAGCCCUUUCAGUGGGGAAGAAAAGCCUCGAGCUAAUACCUCGGGGUCUUGACGUAACCCAUAGAAGAAGCACCGGCUAACUCUGUGCCAGCAGCCGCGGUAAUACAGAGGGUGCGAGCGUUAAUCGGAAUUACUGGGCGUAAAGCGCGCGUAGGCGGCUUUGCAAGUCGGGUGUGAAAUCCCCAGGCUUAACCUGGGAACUGCAUUCGAGACUGCAUUGCUAGAGUAUGGGAGAGGGAAGUGGAAUUUCCGGUGUAGCGGUGAAAUGCGUAGAUAUCGGAAGGAACAUCAGUGGCGAAAGCGACUUCCUGGACCAAUACUGACGCUCAUGUGCGAAAGCGUGGGGAGCAAACAGGAUUAGAUACCCUGGUAGUCCACGCCA